AUGGAAAAUGACUUGAUCUUACACCCGAUCGUUUGGAACAUUCCAAAGCCAAGAGAGGCCUUUCUUGUCACACGUGAUUUCAUGAUAAUUAGGGCCAGCUGUGCCUGGGCAAUUCAGGUCAAACCAGAUGCCAAACCCAACUCAAACACUUGCAGGAAGAUCUUGAUCGUCAAGAGCCUUCAAACAUCCUGUAGAAAAUCAAAAGAAGGAUUCUUGUGCAAGCCCGUCUCCAUCUCACUGGCUCCAUACAAUGGACACAUCCCCAGAUGAUCUCACCUGUUUCACGGCUUCUCAAUCCUACUUUCCUCCUUGGCCUCAGUCGCUGUUUCCUCUGGAAUCCUCAAGGAAGCACUUCAGUGUCUAGGACUCUGAGAGAUCACGCAAGGAUUAUGUUCAAGACGUGUUCCCUCCUGAUAGUUUGAGAAACAAAGACACACGUCUUCUCCUCUUGAUUAUAACUGAACUGUGGCCAGGCAGGGCGCCUUUUGGAAAAACAUACUGGAUAUGAGAAAUGUGUCCCAAACUCCCUAGGGGUCUUAAGCUCAUGUGCCUCAGGCUCCUUCUCAGUAAAAAAAAAAAAAAAAACAAACAAACAAACAAAAAAAAAACAACUGUAAGCCUCAAUUUGUUGAUCUUUAAAGCCCCCUCUUUCUCUAACCCUUGAGGAUUCUGACAGUUGGUAGUUAAAUCGUCUGGAGGAAUUCCUACUGACUUAAACCAGUGGAUGCUCUUUUAGGAAGGUCAUCCUAUUAAUAUGGAAACCCUGUUGAACUCUGCAAAUUCUGGUCCCACCUUUGUGGGACCCAGGAGGAUAUUACUCCACCUAUAAGAAUAGCAUGAGGGCACUGCAACCUUGUUAGGUUUUUUUUUUAAUUAAAAAAAUAUUUUGGGGGGGCAGACUGGGUGGCUCAGCGGUUUAGCUCCUGCCUUCAGCCCAGGGUGUGAUCCUGGAGACCCAGGAUCGAGUCCCACAUCGGGCUCCCUGCAUGGAGUCUGCUUCUCCCUCUGCCUGUGUCUCUGCCUCUCUAUCUGUGUCUCUCAUGAAUAAAUAAAUUUAAAAAAAAAUUUUUUUUAAAGAUUUAUUUGUUUUAGAGAGAGAGUGGAGGGGGUGAGAAAGAGGGAGAGAGAAACCA
rnacentral:lncRNA from 1 species